CACAACAAGGUGAGUAGGAGAGUGCUGGUUGUUCAACCCUGGCCACCACCCACCUGCAGGCCUUGGGAAUUGAACCUGCAGUGAACCUACUACAGGCCCAGCUCAACAAUCUAUCUAGCCUUGUGUUUCUCAACAGGGGCUCUAUAGUGCCUCCUCCCUUAUUGGGGAGGCCAGUAAAAAGACUGUUACCGUAAUCAACCUUACUAGAAAUGAAGGCAUGUAUUAGCUUCUCCAGAUAAUGUUUAGACAUCAGCCCCCUAAAUUUAGAGACGUUUUUUAUGUGAUAAAAUGCAGACACCUAAGCUUACAAUAUAUUGGUUCUUGAGUCAUUUCAGAGAUAAUCGGAUUUAUAGGAUGAAAUGAGUUGUAGUAAAGUAGUAAUUAAUAGGGAUGCACGAUGUAUCGGCCUUAACAUCGAUAUCGGCCGAUAUUUGACAGUUCUCAACACGAGUAAAACUGGGCCGAUGUUAACGCCGAUGUUUUUUAAGCUUAUACGUUGUGAUUCUUAAUCUUAUUGGUUCUGAUAUGUUUUUCAACAUUUUAAAAGAUUGGACUUGACAGUGACUUUCAUUGUUUGUCUUCUAGUUUGUCUCUAUUUUUAUCCAAUUUUAUCACAAGCAGUUAAAAGGUGUUUUUGGAAAUAAAAGAGGGCAUUCAAAAAUUCAGUUUGCAUCAUUGUCAGUCUGUAUUAAAUGUUAUCAUCUGUAUCGGUUAAUAUCGGUUAUCAGUGAAAACCGCAAUAUCAAUAUCGGCCCAAAUUUUUCACAUUGUGCAUCCCUAGUAAUUAAGUAGUGUUGAGGAGAUUACUCCACCUGACAUGAGCACUCCAUUUAACAUAGAAUUUAGAAACAUUAGAAAAGUAAUAAUUUCAUAUUCUUUGUAUGACCAGUGCAUGUAAAGAAAUUGACAAUAAAGCCCACUUGACUUGACACACACUGCACAAUAGCAUGGGUGGUGUGUCAGUUGGGGUAAUGUCAGCUGGCGUGAGUUACUCUAGAAUACUGCUCUAAUAUUAUUUUACUACAAAUCGUUGAAAGACUUAAGUCACAUUAUCUUUGCAAUGACUCAAUAACCAAAGCCAACACUCUCUGAAGAACAUGUGCGUGCGGACGGAGUAACGUAGGGCUUCUCUAGGCCCAAAUCACUCAAAGAAAUCGCAGGCAGUGCAUGAGAUUUAACAAAGGACUGAACAGUGCAUUCGGGUGGAAAACAACAAUACAAGACCGUUCAUGAACACUGGCUUCAGCGUGCCCACAGAACAACAUUUUGGUUAAAUUAGUUUUAGACGGUAAAGAAACGUUAUACCGACAUCCACACCCACACCUGUAUGCAGACCAUUCAAGAAGAAAGUAGAACUACUCGAGCGGGAAAAUAGCGCCGUCCUAGCUACUCAACAGAAACGGCAUAAUUAAUCUGGGAGUUGGACACACUGUGAAGAAAUGUCUGAUGUACAGCCUGGCUUUCCAGACAGCGGUUAAUCUGACCAACGAAGACAACACGAGGGCAUUCUGCUUCUUGAUCAGAGGAGCAUUCGGGGCGAAAUGGAAACAAAGCCAUCCUUCAUCCCAUCACGGAGGAGCACAUGCCCCAGAAUUCCUGCCAAGCCACCGCCCCUGAACCUGAUGAGCACAGCCACCGGAUUCUGGUGCUGCACAGGUAAUCUCCGCAGGCACUCCAGGUGAAUAUGGAUUAACAGCAAAUCACCAAGUUGCAGUAGGCGCUUCCAGCUGACACUAUAACUUUGUUAAAAACAGAGAGCACUGGCUGAAAAUGGCCAUUUUGUGUUGGGUGUCUGUGCAUUUUUUUCCCUCAACAACUUACAUGUUGAACUCAACCAGUAUUUUUGCUGUUUCAUGUCAUCACAUUUUAACCUGGUGAUUUAUUACAGUUUAUUACAGUUAUGACAAUUAACGACAAUUUAUUACAAUAUUUAUGUACAAGAAAAAUGAUGUAUAAUACAUCUAUAAUAAAAAUACAACAUUUAUCAACAAUAAUGUAUGCAUGUACAGUAAUAUCAUAGGCCAACAAAAAAUCAAUGCAUUUCAAAAAGGUUUUGCGACUACUCUGUGUUACAAUAAUACAA